rnacentral:rRNA from 1 species
CCUACGGGUGGCAGCAGUAGGGAAUAUUGCUCAAUGGGGGAAACCCUGAAGCAGCAACGCCGCGUGGAGGAUGACGGUCUUCUGAUUGUUAACCCCUUUUGCUAGAGAAGAUAAUUACCGUUUCUAACGAAUAAGCCCCGGCCAACUCCGGGCCCGGCGCCGCGGUUAUACGGGAGGUGCAAGCGUUACUCGGGAUCAAUGGGCGGUAAGGGGGCGUAGGCGGGAAAGGAAGGCUGGGGUGUAAUCCUAGGGCUUAACCAGAGAACUGCAUUUGAAACUGUUAUUCUGGAGUGAAGGAGAGGUAGGUGGAAUUCUUGGUGUAGGGGUAAAAUGCGUAGAGAUCAAGAGGAAUACUCGUGGCGAAGGCGACCUGCUGGAACAUAACUGACGCUGAGGCGCGAAAGCGUGGGGAGCAAACAGGAUUAGAUACCCUGGUAGUC